UCUCCGUAGGUGAACCUGCGGAGGGAUCAUUACAGAGCAUCAUGCCCUUCGGGGUAGAUCUCCCACCCUGUGUAUUAUAUACCUUUUGUUGCUUUGGCGGGCCGCUGGGCUCACGUCUAGCUACCGGCUCCGGCUGGUAAGUGCUUGCCAGAGGAAAUCAAACUCUGAAUGUUAAUGUCGUCUGAGUACUAUAUAAUAGUUAAAACUUUCAACAACGGAUCUCUUGGUUCUGGCAUCGAUGAAGAACGCAGC
rnacentral:misc_RNA from 1 species